GCGACCCCAUCUUCUCCUCCGCCUCCCUCUCUCUCGUGUCUGGUCUUCAGUCCACCCAUCUUCUCUCCGCCUCUCUCUUGUACUACUUUCUCUCUCCCUUCAUCCCGUCUCUAUCCAAUCAAGAUUUGGCUUCCAGUUCAACGAGGGUAUCAGGACAGCGGGUGGCCACUCCACACAAGCAGAUGGCUCGGUGGCCAGCGCACGGGACGGGUGCCCGCACGCGCCGAGGUGGUCGACUGCGGCGAGGUCCCACGCUGUGCCAUCGGCCAUCCUUCCUCCCUGCACCUGACGGGGAGGCGCGUGGACCGCCAGCUUAGCUGCGGGUUGGGGUCACAGUUCAAACGCCUCAACCUCGCUGGCGUGCUCCUCCCGCGGAGCAGCGGCAACGGCACCCGGCAGCGUGGACGCGGGGCGAGGCGCGCGGGCUUCCCUUGGAGCUUGUCUCGCGGCUCGGCUUGGGCCUUGUUCAUCACCUCCGGGUUAGAGCUAGCUCCGACAUGGCCCAUUGGAUCGGAUGGCAUCCGAUGACGUCUCGCUCCCAGCGCCAAAGAGAUCUUAGGAUGCCAAGAUGCAAUGCAACUUCUCAGAAUUCGAUUUACUAAGGUAACAUUUUUCUGAAUUUUAAAUGUGUGUUUGUUUUUAGCGGUUUUUUAGGCUGACAUAUUGCUCAGACGCUGACAAACACAUGUCAGCCUAAAAGAUGUAAGCGUCACAAGUACAAAUUUUAUUACAUUGGAGAAAGGGUACGGUAUGGCACCAAAUGGAAGCAACAUAUGCUUCAUUACAAAUUUGAAGCCGCGCGGAGUCUCGCCAUGCUUGGUGUGGCUCCAUCCAACACCACUUCAUGGCGAUGUUUCCAGAGGUUCCAACAACAACGUAAACUAUUAUACCCGGACUCACACUCUAUAAGUAAUUACAUCAGGUACCCAUGCGUACGUGGCCUCUUUAUUUAUUCAAGUUUUACUUAUAGCCACUAAAAACGUUUUACAUAUAUUGACUUGGCAAAGUCUAAAUUAAUGCUGCUAGCAAGUGUGAAUCAUGCUUGCUGGGGCACACGAACAACUGGAUGCAGGUAAAGAUCAUGCUUCCUUCGUGCAGUAAUUCCCAUCUCCUCCGUCAUGUCUACUUGGCUCGGCCCCAAUCCGCUCGGGAGCUCCCAAUCAAAGUGAUAUAGGAGUGCUGCAAGUACAAGCUCCAUGCUGGCCUGUGCGAAUGCCAUGCCCGGGCACAUCCUCCGACCCGCACCAAAGGGUGUGAACUCAAAGUCUGUUCCUUUAAAAUCAACCUUGCCAUCCUCAAAUCUGUCAGGUUUGAAUGUCUCAGCAUCAUCCCAAUAUUUAGGAUCCCUAUUGAUAGCCCAGACAUUCACAAACACCGUAGCUCCCUUAGGUAUGUCGUAUCCCAUGACCUUGCAAGACUCUCGACACUCUCUUGGGAGAAGCAUUGGUACAACCGGGUGUACCCUUAGUGUCUCUUUGAUGAUGAGUUUUAUGUACUUGAGGCCAACCAAGUCAUCUUCGGUGACAGUGGGCUUCCCUUCCAUCUUGUCGCGCAGCUCAUCUUGUGCCUUCUGCAUCAGUUUUGGGUUUCUCACUAGCUCCGCCAUGGCCCAUUGGAGUGCAUUUGCGGAUGUCUCGCUCCCGGCAAUAAAAAGAUCCUAUGUACAAGGAAGAAUAUGCUAUCUAUGAUGAAUUGCAUGAA